ensembl:lncRNA
GCAUCAUUCAUCAGGCUUCUAAGGAGGAGAGAGCUUUCCUCCAUCCCCUGCUUUGCUAGGUUCUGUUCAUCCCCGUGUCCCAGGGUGCACAAGAUUGCUGCAGCUUGGCAGGCUUUUCCUGAAACUGAUAAUGAAAUGAUACACCUUAGCUAAACACAUGGAAAAUACACCAAGAGCACAGACAGGCAUGUUCUGAAAGCCAAACUUAAGGUGUUACCUUUUCUUGGUAGUUUAGGACUCCCAGUCAGUGUAGUCAUCCUGCCAAAUCUGAAUUCAGCAGAUCCCACAGAAGUGUUACAGGAUUAGAUACAUAUAUUCUAGAUUGUUAAUUAAUUUUACCACAAAUCUAAUAUAUUCACACUAGCCUCUGUUCUAAAAGAAAUUUUAAAAAAUUGCUGAAGUCUGAGUUUUCUACAUUUAAUGCUGGAAGUUAUUUUAUAUAUGAGUAGAUUUCAGUGGUACACAGGUUGCAUAUUGUAUAUAUGGUACUUGAGUUAAAGCACCAUAACUUAGAGACAUGGCAAUUAUUUGUAGAGUUCAGUUUGUUGUGUGUAUUUCUACGUUACUAAAACAGGCUAUGUUGCUAUGUGCACAUCUGAAGUCAGCUAAGGAUUUAGCACUUGCAGGUGUCUCAUGAUAUUAGCACCUGAUAUUUGCUUUCUAACAGAGAGCAACAAAUGCAAGAACUUCAAUAAGAAUGAAUAAUGGUAAAACAAAUAUCAGGGAUAAUGAUAUUAUGAUAAUGACCAGGGAGCUAAGACUACAUCUGCAUCAGGCUAAGGUAACUAAAGACAGGAAGAAAUUGGGACACUGACAGUCCCAGAUGAAAAACACAUUUUUACAUAGUUACUCUCAGCAACUGAUGUCACCCCUGCAGAACACCCAAAGUGCCUCCUAAACAAGACUAUAAUUUUCACAAUAAUUUUCUGUUAUUUUUUGAAUCAACAGCACUUUUGCCUCACUGUGACAGCUGCCGGCUUGACCAACCCCAUGUGAGUUCUGGAAAGACUCGGUAUUUACAACACCACAGGACCGAAGGGAUCCAUUUCCCUGGGCACAGUUCCUGGUGCAAGUGGUACAGUACCACCACCACCGCCGCCUUGUCUUGCAGGCGAAUCACCAACCAGCACAGCUGCCUCAUGCAAGGGGACCCAUGCAAACCCGGCACUGACAAUGUAAAAUGACUCUGGAUUGCAUCAUGAAGUUAAACCAGUUUUUAGAAAACAGGAAAAAGAAUGGGAAGAUGACCCAAACACACCAGCGAUAGUUCUCCGCAUUCUCCGUUAUAGGUCAGCUGUAUGAAGGUGCUUUAUUUUCCUGUGUCUUGGAUUUUGACCCACCAGAACGUUCUAGUUUGCACGUGCAUUGGCUGACUAAAGCUGACUGUGGCCUUACGGCCUGAAGAUUGGAGGGUUCAGAAACGUGCUACAUAUGGACAUCUGUGAUCAACAACAAUAAUGCGCAUAGGAGCUUAACUCUGAGCAGUGUGGAAAAAAAUAUUAAGAACUUGAGGAUUUUUAUAUUUCACAAAAAGGAAGUUCAUUUCCUUUGCUAGCUCACCGUAGCAUUAUGUGCAAAAUCACAUCUGGAGCUCUUGAAAUACCUUCUCUUAUUUC